UACAAGUUUUUAAAAGUAUGUGUGAAAAGGUUUAAGACACAAUGGGAUGAAUGGAUAAUGGAAGAGUGAAUGUAAAACCUCUUAGGAGGGUCCGCCUCUUGAAAUCAUAUAGAAGAUGAUUCAAGUGCGUCCUUAGGAAUAGGCUACAAAUGAGCAAUAAUAUGAACAUGGUAACAGAUGAAAGUAAAUAAAAGCGGAUACUAGAUG
rnacentral:lncRNA from 1 species